rnacentral:rRNA from 1 species
UACGUAGGGUGCAAGCGUUGUCCGGAAUUAUUGGGCGUAAAGAGCUCGUAGGCGGCCUGUUGCGUCCGCUGUGAAAGCCCGGGGCUUAACCCCGGGUCUGCAGUGGAUACGGGCAGGCUAGAGGUAGGUAGGGGAGAAUGGAAUUCCCGGUGUAGCGGUGAAAUGCGCAGAUAUCGGGAGGAACACCGGUGGCGAAGGCGGUUCUCUGGGCCUUACCUGACGCUGAGGAGCGAAAGUGUGGGGAGCGAACAGG